CAGUAGCCACGGUAACACGUAGGGCGCAAGCGUUGUCCGGAAUUAUUGGGCGUAAAGAGCUCGUAGGCGGUCUGUCGCGUCUGGUGUGAAAUCCCGAGGCUCAACCUCGGGCUUGCAUCGGGUACGGGCAGACUAGAGUGCGGUAGGGGAGACUGGAAUUCCUGGUGUAGCGGUGGAAUGCGCAGAUAUCAGGAGGAACACCGAUGGCGAAGGCAGGUCUCUGGGCCGCAACUGACGCUGAGGAGCGAAAGCAUGGGGAGCGAACAGGAUUAGAUACCUUAGUAGUCCCUGUCUCUUAUAC
rnacentral:rRNA from 1 species